CCUACGGGCGGCAGCAGUGAGGAAUAUUGGUCAAUGGGCGAGAGCCUGAACCAGCCAAGUCGCGUGAGGGAAGACGGUCCUAUGGAUUGUAAACCUCUUUUGCCGGGGAGCAAAACGCGGUACGUGUACCGCAUCGCGAGUACCCUGCGAACAAGCAUCGGCUAACUCCGUGCCAGCACCCGCGGUAAUACGGAGGCUGCGAUCGUUACCCGGAUUUAUUGGGUUUAAGGGGUGGGCAGGGGGGGAGUUAAGUCAGCGGUAAAAUUUCGGGGCCCAACCCCGCCGAGCCGUUGACAGUGGCUUGCUAGAGUGGGCGAGAAGUAUGCGGAAUGCGUGGUGUAGCGGUGAAAUGCAUAGAUAUCACGCAGAACUCCGAUUGCGAAGGCAGCAUACCGGCGCCCAACUGACGCUCAGGCACGAAAGCGUGGGUAUCGAACAGGAUUAGAUACCCUUGUAGUC
rnacentral:rRNA from 1 species